rnacentral:rRNA from 1 species
UACGUAGGGUGCAAGCGUUAAUCGGAAUUACUGGGCGUAAAGCGUGCGCAGGCGGUGAUGUAAGACAGGUGUGAAAUCCCCGGGCUUAACCUGGGAACUGCAUUUGUGACUGCAUCGCUGGAGUGCGGCAGAGGGGGAUGGAAUUCCGCGUGUAGCAGUGAAAUGCGUAGAUAUGCGGAGGAACACCGAUGGCGAAAGCGACUCUCUGGACGGCAACUGACGCUGAGGCACGAAAGCGUGGGGAGCAAACAGG